rnacentral:rRNA from 1 species
AGUAACGGCGAGUGAAGCGGCAACAGCUCAAAUUUGAAAUCUGGCCUUCGGGUCCGAGUUGUAAUUUGUAGAGGAUGCUUUUGGUGCGGUGCCUUCCGAGUUCCCUGGAACGGGACGCCAUAGAGGGUGAGAGCCCCGUCUGGUUGGAUACCAAUCCUCUGUAAAGCUCCUUCGACGAGUCGAGUAGUUUGGGAAUGCUGCUCUAAAUGGGAGGUAUAUGUCUUCUAAAGCUAAAUACCGGCCAGAGACCGAUAGCGCACAAGUAGAGUGAUCGAAAGAUGAAAAGCACUUUGAAAAGAGGGUUAAACAGUACGUGAAAUUGUUGAAAGGGAAGCGCUUGUGACCAGACUUGGGCAUGGUUAAUCAUCCAGCGUUCUCGCUGGUGCACUUGGCCUGCCCAGGCCAGCAUCAGUUCGGUGCGGGGGAUAAAGGCUUCGGGAAUGUGGCUCCUCCGGGAGUGUUAUAGCCCGUUGUGCAAUACCCUGCGCUGGACUGAGGUUCGCGCAUCUGCAUGGAUGCUGGCGUAAUGGUCAUCAGCGACCCGUCUUGAAACACGGACCAAGGAGUCGUCCUCGUAUGCGAGUGUUCGGGUGUUAAACCCCUACGCGUAAUGAAAGUGAACGCAGGUGAGAGCUUCGGCGCAUCAUCGACCGAUCCUGAUGUUCUCGGAUGGAUUUGAGUAAGAGCAUACGGGGCCGGACCCGAAAGAAGGUGAACUAUGCCUGUAUAGGGUGAAGCCAGAGGAAACUCUGGUGGAGGCUCGCAGCGGUUCUGACGUGCAAAUCGAUCGUCAAAUAUGGGCAUGGGGGCGAAAGACUAAUCGAACC